rnacentral:piRNA from 1 species
GCCAAACAAGGUGACUUACCGCCUGCCAGG